rnacentral:rRNA from 1 species
GCAGUCGAACGGGGAUGCAUUAAGAAGGAGUGCUAGCAUUCCGGAAGGAUGUCUCUUAGUGGCGGACGGGUGAGUAACGCGUGGGUAACCUGCCCCAUACCGGGGGAUACCACCUGGAGACAGGUGCUAAUACCGCAUAAGCGCACGGGAGCGCAUGCUCCUGUGUGAAAAACUCCGGUGGUAUGGGAUGGACCCGCGUCUGAUUAGCCAGUUGGCAGGGUAACGGCCUACCAAAGCGACGAUCAGUAGCCGGCCUGAGAGGGUGGACGGCCACAUUGGGACUGAGACACGGCCCAAACUCCUACGGGAGGCAGCAGUGGGGAAUAUUGCACAAUGGGGGAAACCCUGAUGCAGCGACGCCGCGUGAGUGAAGAAGUAUUUCGGUAUGUAAAGCUCUAUCAGCAGGAACGAGACAAGACGGUACCUGACUAAGAAGCCCCGGCUAACUACGUGCCAGCAGCCGCGGUAAUACGUAGGGGGCAAGCGUUAUCCGGAAUCACUGGGUGUAAAGGGAGCGUAGACGGCUGAGCAAGCCUGAAGUGAAAGGCGGGGGCCCAACCCCUGGACUGCUUUGGGAACUGUACGGCUGGAGUGCAGGAGAGGUAAGUGGAAUUCCUAGUGUAG